GACCGCUCCGGUGGCCUAGUGGUUAGAGUGUCCGCUUCGGAUGCGUGAGGUUGUGGGUUCGAUCCCCGGCCGAGUCA